CCGGUAGCGCGGAGCUUGUAAAACACCCUGGAGAGAAGAUGGCGGCGGCAGCGGCUUCGGCGCCUCAGCAGCUCUCGGAUGAGGAGCUUUUCUCUCAGCUCCGCCGUUACGGCCUGUCUCCUGGCCCAGUGACGGAGAGCACCCGCCCGGUCUACCUCAAGAAGCUGAAGAAGCUUCGAGAGGAAGAGCAGCAGCAGCACCGGUCUGGGGGCCGCGGCAACAAGACGCGGAACAGUAAUAACAAUAACACGGCAGCCGCCGCGGUUGCGGCGGCGGGACCGGCGGCGGCCGCCCCGGGAUUGGGGGUCCGUCCAGUCUCGGGCGAUCUCUCCUACUUGCGGACUCCUGGGGGCCUGGGCCGAAUCUCCGCCUCGGGCCCGGAGAGCUCCUUGGGAGGGCCCGGGGGCACCUCGGCCGCCCCCACGGCUGGCAGCAAAGUGCUGCUGGGCUUCAGCUCGGACGAGUCGGACGUGGAGGCCAGUCCCCGGGACCAGGCCGGCGGCGGCGGUGGGAGGAAAGAUCGGGCUUCGCUCCAGUACCGCGGGCUCAAACCGCUGUCGGCGCCCCUGGCCGCCAGCGAGGUGACUAACAGCAACUCGGCCGAGCGCAGGAAGCCCCACUCGUGGUGGGGGGCCAGGCGGCCGGCGGCUCCCGAGCUGCAGACCCCGUCGGCGAGAGAUGGAGCCGCGGAGGACGAGGAGGAGGAGGGGGAAGACGGAGAGGACAGGGACCCAGAGGCCGAGGAGCCGCUGUGGGCGAGCCGGACUGUGAACGGCAGCCGGCUUCUCCCCUACAGCUGCCGGGAGAACUAUUCGGACUCGGAGGAAGAGGAGGACGACGACGUGGCCUCCAGCAGACAGGUAUUAAAGGACGACUCCCUUUCCCGGCAUCGGCCCAGGCGGAGCCACAGUAAGCCUCUCUCUUCGCUGACUGCUAAAUCUGCCGGCGGCCGGCUGGAGACCUCAGUUCAGGGAGGGGGAGGCAUCCAGAUGAAUGACAGGGCGGCGGCUGCGGGGAGUCUAGACAGGAGCCGAAACCUCGAAGAGUCGGCGGCGGCGGAGCAGGGAGGAGGGUGUGAUCCCCUGGACUCCAGCCCCAUUCCUAGGUACCGUGUCAACGCUAAGAAACUGGCCCCUCUUCUGCCCCCGCCACUGACUGACAUGGACUCAACCUUGGAUUCGUCCACAGGCUCCCUUCUUAAAACCAAUAAUCAUAUCGGCAGUGGGGCCUUCGGUGCGGACUCCCCCAGGAUUUUUUCCAACAGCCUCCCUCCAGGUGCGUCGGUGGCUGCCUCUAGUUCACUCAGGAUCAAUCACUCCAAUCAUACGGGCGCCAAUCAUACCUAUCUGAAGAACACAUACAACAAACCGAAGCUUUCCGAGCCCGAGGAGGAACUUCUCCAGCAAUUCAAACGGGAGGAGGUGUCCCCUGCAGGGGGUUUCAGUGCCCACUACUUGUCGAUGUUUCUCUUAACUGCUGCCUGCUUAUUUUUCCUAAUAUUGGGACUGACUUACCUAGGAAUGAGAGGGACAGGAGUAUCCGAGGAUGGAGGGCUCAGCAUAAAAAACCCCUUUGAUGGAACAUUUGGAAAAAUACAAGAAAGUAAGAAAAAUCUUCUGAUGAACACUUUAUACAAGCUUCAUGAUCGAUUGGCACAGCUUGCAGGAGAUCAUGAAUGUGGCAGUUCUAGUCAGAGAACACUUUCUAUCCAAGAGGCAGCUGCAUAUUUAAAAGAUUUAGGCCCUGAAUAUGAAGAUAUAUUUAAUAUUUCCUUGAAGUGGAUUUUAGAAAAUGGAAAAGAUGUUGGAAUAAGGUGCGUUGGUUAUGGCCCUGAGGAACAACUGACAAAUAUAUCCCAUGUGCAGUUUUUACAGUCCACAAGACCGCAGAUGUCUUUCUGGUGUCGUUUUCGACGUGCUUUUAUUACUGUCACCCACAGGUUAUUGUUGUUAUGCUUGGGUGUAGUGAUGGUUUGUGUCGUUCUGCGUUAUAUGAAAUACCGCUGGACAAAAGAAGAAGAGGAAACAAGGCAGAUGUAUGAUAUGGUGGUGAAGAUUAUAGAUGUCUUACGAAGUCAUAAUGAAGCUUGCCAGGAAAAUAAAGACUUACAACCUUACAUGCCUAUUCCACAUGUACAAGAUUCCUUAAUACAACCUCAUGACAAGAAAAAAAUGAAGAAAGUCUGGGAUAGAGCUGUUGACUUCCUUGCUGCUAAUGAGUCUAGAGUUCGCACAGAGACACGAAGAAUAGGUGGUACGGAUUUUCUAGUUUGGCGGUGGAUCCAGCCUUCUGCCUCCUGUGACAAAAUAUUAGUAAUACCUUCUAAAGUAUGGCAAGGUCAAGCAUUUCAUUUAGAUAGAAGAAAUUCACCGCCAAAUAGCUUGACACCAUGUCUAAAGAUUCGAAAUAUGUUUGACCCAGUUAUGGAAAUAGGGGAUCAGUGGCAUUUGGCAAUUCAAGAAGCAAUUUUAGAAAAAUGCAGUGAUAAUGAUGGCAUUGUUCAUAUUGCAGUAGACAAAAAUUCACGUGAGGGUUGUGUAUAUGUUAAAUGUCUGUCUCCAGAAUAUGCUGGAAAAGCUUUUAAGGCAUUGCAUGGCUCUUGGUUUGAUGACUUAUCUCGGCAAGUCACUUCUUCCAGAUGACUCAACAGAGGAUGCUAAAUCAAGCAGAAUUUGGGCAGCUGCUCUUUUGGAAAGGAUGCUGAGGAACAGGAGUUUAUUCUGAAGAAAUCAGAAGUGACAUGAAGAGAUAUGAAAAUGAUAUUCAUUACAGCUCUAUACUGUGAUACAAACGAGAAGCAAUUGAAUUCUACAAAAGUGAGAGUAAUGGAUUAUGGAUUAUCAUAUGAUGGAAUCAUGGGCAGUCAUUAAAAUAAUGUCUUUGGAGAAUAAGGUAUGGAAAAUAUUGUCUGUGUGCUGCUUAAAUUGCAUGUACAUUAUUUAAAUAUACUAUAUGCCAUCUAAGAUACUCUUAAUUGGAAGAGGGAUCAUUUUCUCUGGCACUAAGGAAGAAAACAACAACAAAAAUAACACCCAAGAUCUGAAUUCUAAUAGAAUAUCCUGGCAUAAAACUAGGCAGAGUCAGGAUAAAUGAGAACUAGACUUGUCUCUGGAAAGGGACAGCAAAGAAGCCAGUUGGUUUUCUUUCAGAGUGUGGUUCCAAUUCCUACAACCAACCCCCAUGGGCCUAGAAAGCUUCAAGCAAAGAGAAAACAUAGUGUUCACAGUUGGUAGUUGCCCAGGUAGAAGCAAACAUAAGUCUCCUGGCAGAAAUUGGACUUCAUGCAGAUAGACACAAUUUUUUUUUCUUUGGAACUUGGUCAGUGAUUUUUUUUUUUUUUAAAGAUCCCAUUGAUGCUAAAAUGAAUUUUGAUAUUAGAGUUGUUAGAAAUGAAAAAUUUUGUCUGGAGUGAAAGGAAUAUACUAUAUACAUGCAGUUGGUGGGAACUACUCUGCAAUUUAGCAGUGAAGUCUAAUCUGUUGAAUUACAUAUGUAUUAUACAAAACUUCCAUUAACAUUUAUUACAUAUAUAUAUAUUUUAUUAAGCAGGCUGCCUGCUGAGCAGAGAGCCUGAUGUGGGGCUCAGUCCCAGGACCCUGAGAUCAUGACCUCAGUCGAGGCAGAGGCUUAACCCACUGAUCCACCCAGGUGCCCCUAUUACAUAUGUUUAAAUGUUUACCUUAAUUAGGAUUCCCAUAAUUAUUUCUAGUCUAUUUUCUUAAUUUGAUCUCCUCUGUUAGUAUAUUUUGAAUCAUUACCAACCUUUGGCAAUGAAGCUCAGGCAUUUUAGAGUUUUUAUAAUUUGAACAUUUUGGAAAAGAGCUAUAUUUAUUUUAGCUACAGAUUUGUGGGUUUUUACUGUUCGCAGGUGUAUGAAAAGUCUUCCAAAACACUGGAUCCCUGCACUGAGAGAGGAAAAAAGGAAGCGUGUUUAAGAGCAUAGUCCCUGGAGUGAGAGCCAUGCUCAAAUUUCAGCGUUGACGCAUACUAGUUGUAUGACCUUAGGCAAGUUAUUAAAGUGGUCUAAGACUCAGUUUCCUCAUUUUUAAAACAAUGGUAAUUGUAUAGUUGAGAGAAUGGAAUGAAAUAAUGUAAAAUUCCCAUCAUAUAAUAUCCUGGUUACCAUUUCUAAAUCAAGGUCUAUGAGACAAACUGCUUGAAAAUGUGAUUUAUUUUUUUUAACAUCCCUUUGCUUUACUUCAUUGUAGUUACUCUUAACAAUGAUCAUAAGACAAAACUUUGAAAAUGUAUAAUCUCUUCAGUGCUUUCUUUUUUAAAUGAUCUAUUCCCUAUCCCAGCAAGUAGAAAAAUGGGGUACACUCCUGAUUAGCAUAACCUUGAUGCAGAAAACAGAAAAGGAAAAUUUAGAGGCCAGUCUCGUUGAACAAAGAUGCAAAAGUCCCAAACAAACUAAAGUGGCCAGCAUACCAAAUCCUGCAACACACAACUAAGAAUUAUACAUCAUGACCAUAUUGGAUGUAUUCCAAGGAAUGCAGGACUGGUUUAACAUUAGAAAAUCAAUAUAAUUUGUCCCAUUAACAGAAUAAAUGAAAUAAAUAUGAUCACCUCAUUUAGAUGCAGUAAACCACCUAACAAUUCAACAUCCAUAUUCCUUUUCAUAAAAAAAGUAAUUCUUAACAAACUAGAAGGGAACUUCUUAAAUCUCAUAAAGAAAUAUUUACCAAAAACCUAAAAUAAAGAUAUUAAUGGUAAAUUCUCUGGUAUGUCCCUGUUGGGUACAGUUUUGAAACCUAAGUUUGACUUCUUUUAUUUCUGUUUCAGAAAAAAAAAAGCUUUUUUGUUCUUCACUAUUAACAAUUUUUGUUCUUUUAAAACUAAUGUAUUCUCCCAUUUUAUCUUACUUUGAAAUGAUAUAGUCUUUCGUGUCUCCUAAAUUAUUCAUUUUAUUGUUAGUUUUUCCCAACUAUUGUGUCCCAGAAUUCUUCCUUGUAUGCUCAGUGCUUCUGCUUUAAAAAGGCAGAAAAUCUAAAUGUAAAUGUUUUUCUCUCAAUGUGAAAACAUUGAGAUUCAGAUCUCAGCUAUGACUGUUGUAGAAUUAUCAUCAUCGGACCUAUGGUAGCGUUGGUCACUAGAGUUGUGUCAGCUCCUGACUGGAAUGGAUCAGUUGUAUUUCACCAAUGAUUGUCUACAGUCAGUCCUGUAUUAUUAAAAUGUUCCUUGCUGUGACACUAAACAUAAAGGCUGGUAUAAUCUUUUAAUUAUAGGACUCUUAGAAGUCAAUGUUAUGCAGUAUACAUAUGGUAACAGUUUGGUGUACAUCCUUGGAAGAUCCCAGGAGCAACAGAGAUGAGUGAAGAGCAGACAGUGAAUGAGCAGGAGAAACUGCUUCUGUGAGAGUCCUGUGGGUUGAAUCCUCUCCUUACAUUCGAAGAACUAGCCACGAGCCUUGUAUGUACACUCAUUCUGUUAUUCAUCAUUGUAAAUUAUACAUAGUUCCACAUUUAAAUAAAGCCACACUUUCAAAAUUACAAUGU